CCCUUAGAUGUUCUGGGCCGCACGCGCGCUACACUGAUGCAUUCAACGAGCCUAUCCUUGACCGACAGGUCCGGGUAAUCUUUGAAUCUGCAUCGUGACGGGGAUAGAUUAUUGCAAUUAUUAAUCUUCAACGAGGAAUGCCUAGUAGGCGCAAGUCAUCAGCUUGCGUCGAUUACGUCCCUGCCCUUUGUACACACCGCCCGUCGCUCCUACCGAUUGGGUGCGCUGGUGAAAUGUUCGGAUCGGCCGUUUGUCGCGGUUUCCGCGUCAUGUGGCUGAGAAGUUCAUUAAACCCUCCCACCUAGAGGAAGGAGAAGUCGUAACA
rnacentral:rRNA from 1 species